UGGAAGAAUGAUUUCUGAAUGUGGUCUGAC
rnacentral:piRNA from 1 species